rnacentral:misc_RNA from 1 species
AAGACUAUAGACCUGCGGAGUACCUGCGGAGGGAUCAUUAACGAAUAACUAUGGUGUCUUGGUUGUCGCUGGCUCCUCGGAGCAUUGUGCACGCCCGCCAUUUUUAUCUAUCCACCUGUGCACCGAAUGUAGGUCUGGAUGACUCUCGCCUCCGGGCGGAUGCGAGGUUUGCGUGCGAGCGCUCUCCUCGAAUUUCCAGGCUCUACGUCUCUUUACACACCCCAAACGUAUGAUGCAGAA